UUUCCGUAGGUGAACCUGCGGAAGGAUCAUUAAUGAGUUGUCAUGGGGUUCGAUGCUGGCAGCCAAUUUUUGGAUGCAUGUGCUUGCCCUAACAAUCAUCUUCCAAACACCUGUGCACAUUUUUGAGGGAGUCUUGAGUUGGUUGCCGCUCUUGGGUGAUUUUCUCACAUUCCCUUAAAUCAUUAUAAGCUAUUAACAAUGUUGAACGUGCUCUGUGCCGCAAGGCUAUUAAUAUAAUACAACUUUUAACAACGGAUCUCUUGGCUCUC
rnacentral:misc_RNA from 1 species